rnacentral:rRNA from 1 species
GAGAGCUUUGCGUCCCAUUAGUUAGUUGGUGAGGUAACGGCUCACCAAGACGAUGAUGGGUAGCCGGCCUGAGAGGGUGAACGGCCACAAGGGGACUGAGACACGGCCCUUACUCCUACGGGAGGCAGCAGUGGGGAAUAUUGGACAAUGGACCAAAGUCUGAUCCAGCAAUUCUGUGUGCACGAUGAAGUUUUUCGGAAUGUAAAGUGCUUUCAGUUGGGAAGAAGAAAGUGACGGUACCAACAGAAGAAGCGACGGCUAAAUACGUGCCAGCAGCCGCGGUAAUACGUAUGUCGCAAGCGUUAUCCGGAUUUAUUGGGCGUAAAGCGCGUCUAGGCGGUUUGGUAAGUCUGAUGUGAAAAUGCGGGGCUCAACUCCGUAUUGCGUUGGAAACUGCCAAACUAGAGUACUGGAGAGGUAGGCGGAACUACAAGUGUAGAGGUGAAAUUCGUAGAUAUUUGUAGGAAUGCCGAUGGGGAAGCCAGCCUACUGGACAGAUACUGACGCUAAAGCGCGAAAG